AGAUUUUAUUUAUUUAUUCAUGAGACAGAGAGAGAGAGAGGCAGAGACACAGGCAGAGGGAGAAGCAGGCUCCAUGCAGGGAGCCCAACGUGGGACUCGAUCCAGGGACUCCAGGACCACCACACCCAGGGCCAGAGGACCCCAUCCAGGAUGUCAUAUUGCAUUUAUCUCAUGACUCCUUGGUUCCUCUGCGCCGCGGCAGUUUCUCUCAGACAUGAACAUGACUUAUCACUGUUGGUACUGACCUUGAUCACCUGGCUGAAGAGGAGCUUGUCAGGUUUCUCCACUGGAAAAUUACUUUUCAUUUACCCUUUUUCAUUCUAUCUUCUUUGGAAGGAAGUGAAUUAAUAUGCUCAACCCACACCUAAGGAUGGCAGUUAUGUUAACCUCCUUAAAGGUAGAGUAUCUACAUAAGUUAUUUGGAAUUUUUCUGGAGUGAAGAUUUGUCUUUUCUACUUAUUAUUCGGUUAUUUAUUUAUAUCAGUAUGGACUCAUGGAUAUUUAUUUCAUAUUUUAAGUUAUAAUCCAAUACUACUUAAUUUUGUUGCUCAAAUUGUUCCACCUUUGGCCUUCGGGAGCUCUUUUAGUUAACACCUGUUUUCCUUUGACAUACCCCCAUCGUUGUAUGCCCUUUCGUCUUCUUCUUCUUGAUCUUGGGAACCUCCUUCUUUCUGGCAUUAUAUGAUACUGCAGGCUUAUCUUGCAUAUUUCCUGCUCAGGUCCUAGAAUCAGCUGUUUCUCAAAAACCCUGAUUCCUCCCAUUGGAGAGUGGUAUUAUAAACUAAGAUCUGGAUGCUAAGUAUGCUCAUUGCUACUGAGGUGUGAUUUCUUUUAAGCCUUCAAAACUAACAGAACAAAGAAAUAUAUAUGUAUAUACUAACCUGUUUGUAAACACAUAUCUAUAAAUAUUUCUGUAUGUAACCAUCUGUAUCUAUAUUAAACUAAACAUGAGUUUA